CUAAGCACAGGCAUUCGCUACUCUGUUUCUCUGAAACAUCUUCAAGGUCCCAGAGGAGGGAUAAAUGCCCAACAGGCUGUGAUGCCCCACAGGACACAGCUGGAGCUCCACGGGGGUGCAAGCAGGAUGAAGCAGCUCUGGGGUGUUUUUUUUUGCACUCGCUGUUCCUUUUUCCUAUGCAUAUACCUCUUUGAGAAGUCACUUUAAAGAGGCAUAGGGCAUGGGAAAAUGGGGCUGCCGAGGUAUUCCACAAAUCCUCUCGUCAUGACAGCCGACAUCUAUGUUCACACAUGCGAAGUGAGGAAACUCUCACGCAUUAAGUACACGUGAAUUUUGUGAUGUCGUAGUUCUAAGUGAUUCCUCUUUUUAGAUCAUGAUAAGUUGUCUACUUUUUCUGGUGAUGUCAUAUUGCAUGUUUACUCAGUUAUUACUCGCAUAAUUUGUCUGUUUAAUAUUUGCAAUAAAGAUUCCAUGGAACACAAGA